rnacentral:rRNA from 1 species
CAAUAGCGUAUAUUAAAGUUGUUGCAGUUAAAAAACUCGUAGUUGGAUUUCUGGUGGGAGCGAUCGGUCUGGCGCUUAGCGCGAGUACUUGCAUCGUCUCCGGCCAUCCUUGGGGAGAGUCUGUCUGGCAUUAGGUUGUCGGGCAGAGGAUCCUCAUCGUUUACUGUGAAAAAAUUAGAGUGUUCAAAGCAGGCUUAUGCCGUUGAAUAUAUUAGCAUGGAAUAAUAAGAUAGGACUUUGGUACUAUUUUGUUGGUUUGCGCACCAAAGUAAUGAUUAAUAGGGACAGUUGGGGGUAUUCGUAUUCCGUUGUCAGAGGUGAAAUUCUUGGAUUUACGGAAGACGAACUACUGCGAAAGCAUUUACCAAGGAUGUUUUCAUUAA